rnacentral:lncRNA from 1 species
CGCUCAUUGGCUGCCACAGCCCCGGUCCGAGAGGCCGAGGAAGGCUGAUUCGUCACAGGCUGUCAGCGCGGGCCACGCCUAUUUCUUCUCCAGGUUCUAAUUAGAUGCAAUUCCAGGAAUGACAGGAAGCAAACCAAUUCCACCCCAAGAUACAAACAAAGAACAGCACCCUCUCAAAUGAUGCUGCAUGAUAAGUGGCCACAGAGAGCAUCACUGUAAUCAGUCAGAAAGGCAGAGGUUGCCAGGAAAGAUGCAUCCACAACUUCUUUCAGCAUCUUCUAUGUAGCAUUAUUUUUCUGUGUGCUACUUGGAUUAUCUGCAUCAGGAUCUAACAGUGACCCUUGUUGAAAAGGCAGAGUCUCUGGUCCAACUUCAGAACUCAUGAAUCAGAAACUCAGAGGAUGUACCAAACAGAAUAUAUCAGCAAAUUCCCAAAACAGAAACCAAGCGGGUCACAUCUGCUGAUCCCAAUGCAAUACAUUAAAACACAAAAAUAAAAGGAUAAUUAAAAAUAAAAAACAGAUGGAUAUGUUUAUGGCAUUAAUUGUGGUAAUGGUUUUGUGGGUGUAUACUUAUCUCCAAAAUUCAUCAACUUGUAUAUAUUAAAUGUGU